rnacentral:rRNA from 1 species
UGGGGAAUUUUGCGCAAUGGGCUAACGCCUGACGCAGCAACGCCGCGUGGAGGAUGAAGGUCUUUGGAUUGUAAACUCCUGUCAGCAGGGAAAAAGCGACUACACCUAAUACGUGUGGGAGUUGAUUGUACCUGCAGAGGAAGCCCCGGCUAACUCUGUGCCAGCAGCCGCGGUAAUACAGAGGGGGCAAGCGUUAUUCGGAAUUAUUGGGCGUAAAGGGCGCGUAGGCGGCUUGGCAAGUGAAAGGUGAAAUCCCUCGGCUUAACCGAGGAACUGCCUUUCAGACUGCUUUGCUUGAGGCCGGGAGAGGCGAGUGGAAUUCCCAGUGUAGCGGUGAAAUGCGUAGAUAUUGGGAGGAACACCAGUGGCGAAGGCGGCUCGCUGGACCGGUUCUGACGCUGAGGCGCGAAAGCGUGGGGAGCAAACGGG